rnacentral:lncRNA from 1 species
CAUAACAGGCCAUGCAGAUAGAGGUGGUGUGUGCCGUAAGGACCGUGUCGGCAUGGGCGAAGAUAUACCUACUUCCUAUUCUGGAGUGAGAACAAUGGCUCACGAACUCGGACAUUUACUGGGAUCACCACAUGACACCACGCCGAAGUGCCCUUGGUCGGAAGGAUAUCUCAUG